UUUUUUGGUCAAUAAUUGGGACCUAAGGUUAGAUUUAUGGUAAUUUAACUCACCUCUAACUCUAACUCAACUCAAGGUUGGCUAUUCAAACUAAUAUAUAAAUUAAUAAUAAAUUCUAGGAGUUAUGAGUUAAUACAUUUUUGAUUCAAAUAAGGAUAAUCUAAAGAAAAGAGAAGAAACAGAACAGAAGAAAAAAAACUACAGGAAGAAAAAGAAAGAAAAAACAACUCUAAUCAGGAAGAAAUAGUUCGUGGCAGUGCCACUCCUAGCAUAUUUCCCUCUAUUAUUCUGGCUAGAGCUGCAGGAAUAGUCCCUAAUACACGAAGUUGUGCGUCUUGCAUUGCACCUUAGGUUGCUAACCAGUCCGCAGCCCGGUUGCCUUCACGAUAUACGUGAACAAUUUCCACCUUCCAGUGAGCUUCUUUGAUCAUAUCACGACAGAAAUUUAUCAGGGUCUAACCCCGACUCUGAUUAAGGCUGGGUGCCAUGGUUUGCUUAAAGAGAGAGCCUCUCUGGCAAUGACCGAGUUUUGAAGAAUGUGAAUGGUUGUUCAAUUCAGAUAACUUCUUGCAGAGUAUUCCGGCGCUGUACUUGGAGUAUUAUCUACGGUUCUGUAUGGGCAUAGGGUUCAUAUCCGGAAGAAGAGUUGAUGGAAUACCUCUGUUGAAUUUGCGGAGUUAUAAACUGGUUAUUGCAGUUCAUGAACUUGGUUGUGAUUCUUUCACUGCAGUUCAGGCAGAAGAGAUACUAAUGUGAGAAAUUUUCUGAGAUAGUAGGCAGACUGCAUGGCUCAUGAAGUUCUAAAACGUCACUAUGGUCCAGAGAUCGAUGUUUGGAGUGUUGGAGUUAUUGUAUAUCUUGUUGUGUGGUGUUCCCCCCUUCUGGGCAGGCUGUGAUCACAGUUGUGGCAGCUACACGUCUGAAAGGUUGCAAAACACUUGAGAAAGAAAUAGAUCCUCAAAAUAUAAUCCUCGAGAGGAUAUAGAGGAGAGGGAAGUAACAUUUCCUGGAUUUGCGCUCCUCAAAAAUGACUGAGCAAUCUUGGACAUCAGCUUAUUAUCUCGUGGUUUCAUGUUUGAGGAAUAGUCGUUUCAGAGCGUGAGCUUUUCAUGACUGAGCAAUCUUGGACAUCUUAGAGAUGCUCUUCCUAGAGUUGGCAUCUUGUCAUUUGUGUAAUCAAAUAAUGUUGUAUUAAUAAAUAUUCAAAAUUAUUUCAGAAGUAUUUUUAUUGUAUCAUUGGUUUUGUUCGA